UAAAUAUCCACUGUGAUCCUUGUGCCAAUGCAAAAUCCACGACAGCGUCUAGGCUGAUUUUUCUGCUAACAGCAUCCAUAAAUACAUCAAAUUCAUCCAUUGCUCUAAAUGGAGCUUCAGUCAUCUCAUGAAGAGCAAGUGCAAAGCACAAAGUUGAAAAAGAGCGUUCUCCCCCUGAAAGUCCUCGUGUGUCACGAACACUGCUGCUUGAUGCAUCUUGGGG
rnacentral:misc_RNA from 1 species